AUUGAACGCUGGCGGCAGGCCUAACACAUGCAAGUCGAGCGGAUGAAGGGAGCUUGCUCCUGGAUUCAGCGGCGGACGGGUGAGUAAUGCCUAGGAAUCUGCCUGGUAGUGGGGGAUAACGUCCGGAAACGGGCGCUAAUACCGCAUACGUCCUGAGGGAGAAAGUGGGGGAUCUUCGGACCUCACGCUAUCAGAUGAGCCUAGGUCGGAUUAGCUAGUUGGUGGGGUAAAGGCCUACCAAGGCGACGAUCCGUAACUGGUCUGAGAGGAUGAUCAGUCACACUGGAACAGAGACACGGUCCAGAGUACUACGGGAGGCAGCAGUGGGGAAUAUUGGACAAUGGGCGAAAGCAUGAUCCAGCCAUGCCGCGUGUGUGAAGAAGGUCUUCGGAUUGUAAAGCACUUUAAGUUGGGAGGAAGGGCAGUAAGUUAAUACCUUGCUGUUUUGACGUUACCAACAGAAUAAGCACCGGCUAACUUCGUG
rnacentral:rRNA from 1 species